rnacentral:rRNA from 1 species
GACGAACGCUGGCGGCGUGCUUAACACAUGCAAGUCGAGCGGAAAGGCCACUUCGGUGGUACUCGAGCGGCGAACGGGUGAGUAACACGUGAGUAAUCUGCCCUGGACUUUGGGAUAGCCACCGGAAACGGUGAUUAAUACCGGAUACGACGACUCCACGCAUGUGGUGGUUGUGGAAAGUUUUCUCGGUUCAGGAUGUGCUCGCGGCCUAUCAGCUUGAUGGUGGGGUAAUGGCCUACCAUGGCUUCGACGGGUAGCCGGCCUGAGAGGGUGACCGGCCAUACUGGGACUGAGACACGGCCCAGACUCCUACGGGAGGCAGCAGUGGGGAAUAUUGGACAAUGGGCGGAAGCCUGAUCCAGCAACGCCGCGUGAGGGAUGACGGCCUUCGGGUUGUAAACCUCUUUCAGUACAGACGAAGCGAAAGUGACGGUAGGUACAGAAGAAGCACCGGCCAACUACGUGCCAGCAGCCGCGGUAACAC